UCGUUUUGGUAGCUAACAGUAGCCGGUUGGUUAGCUGCUCGGCGCUCUAGCUCUAUUGUUGUGUUAUUGAUCGUGUUUACUUAUAUUAAUAUUUAUAUCGAGGUAUAUACACAAAGCGAGAUUUUAAUCCGAUAUAUGAAUAUUCAGAAGAUGGGGAGUGUAGCCUGAUCUGGGUGAGCAGGCCAGGCUCACCGUGUUGGUUAGCAUUAGCAGUGUUAGCAUUAGCAUUAGCAUUAGCACUGUUCAGAGGGACACGGCGCUGCUCCACACCGUCUCUGCUGUGAGGAAGAGUGUGUGUACAGAUGGACGGUGAGGAGGAUUCGUAUUCAGUGAAUCACUCAGACGAGGGCAGUGCCACUCCUGUGCAGGAUGAGCCGAUGGGUUCUGACGCCGAGGACGAGAGACCGGAGUCACGCCAGUCUGAGGACGACGGAAGUGACCGCGAGGGUACAGCCUCCAGUCCGGCGCCCCCCGGUGACGACAGCGAGUCGGAACCCGAGGGCGGACGAGGCGGAGCCGACAGCGACGACGACGGAGGCUCCCCUCGCAGGCGCAGAGGAAGCACGUCGGAGACGGAGGAGCAGCAGAAAGAGCGGGCCAGCGACUCGGAGAACGAGGAGCCGCGGACGAGGCGCUCAGACUCGGACGAUUCGGACGGAGAAAAGGCCAGACGGAGAGAUUCUGACGAUGAGGAUGAAGAUCAGAGGAGAAAGGCUGCCGUACGUUCAGACAGCGAGGACGAGGAGGAGAGGAAACCCAGAGCGGCGGUUCAUUCAGACAGCGAGGACGAGGAGGUGAAGAAACCUAAAGCCACGGUGGAGUCAGACAGCGAGGACGAGGAGGAGAGGAAACCCAGAGCGGCGGUUCAUUCAGACAGCGAGGACGAGGAGGUGAAGAAACCUAAAGCCACGGUGGAGUCAGACAGCGAGGACGAGGAGGUGAAGAAACCCAGAGCGGCGGUUCAUUCAGACAGCGAGGACGAUGAGGUGAAGAAACCUAAAGCUGCAGAACAUUCAGACAGCGACGAGGGCGAGGUGAAGCGGCGCAAAGCUGCUGUGAACUCGGACAGUGAGGAUGAUGAAGAGGAGAAGAAGAAGCCUAAAGCCAGAAUUCAGUCCGACAGUGAGGACGACGAGGAACCGAAGAAUAAAGACGAGGCCGGGGGCGAACAGAAAGAUGACAAGGCUGCUUCUGACAGCGAUGAUGACGACGUGCCAGUGAAGAGGAAGAAGGCCAUCCUGUCCGACAGCGAGGACGAAGACGAGCCGAAAGCAGCUGCAAAGAAAAGGAGGGCUGUAUCAGACGAUGAAGACUCUGGCAGCGACGAAGGCUCCGAGGCUCCCGAUAAGAGCGUCGCGGCCAAGCUGAGAGAGCUGGGAUCCGACAGCGAGGACGAGGACGGGACGAACACGGGCGGCGGGAAGAAAGACGAGAAGGAUCUGUUCGGCAGCGACAGCGAGUCGGAGAACGAAGAGGAAGAGAAAAUGAUCGCCGAUAUCUUCGGAGAGUCCGGUGAUGAAGACGAGGAGGAGUUCACGGGUUUUAACCAGGAGGAGCUGGAGGGCGAGAAGCAGCAGGCUCAGGCUGCGGGACAGAAGACGGUAGCUGAUGAUUCGGAUUCAGACGAGGGCGUGGAGCGAGGAGGACAUGACAUGUCCUUCAUGUCCGAUUUCGACAUCAUGCUGGCCAAGAAGAAGGCUCAGAGCGGCAAGCGCAGACGCCACAGGGACGGCGGGACGUUCAUCAGCGACGCCGAUGACGUGGUCAGCGCCAUGAUCACCAAGAUGAACGAAGCCGCCGAGGAGGAUCGCACGCUGAACAGUCAGAAGAAGCCGGCGCUGAAAAAGCUCAUGCUCCUACCCACGGUCGUCAUGCAUUUAAAGAAGCAGGACCUGAAGGAGACCUUCAUAGACAGCGGGGUGAUGACGGCGAUUAAGGAGUGGAUCGGUCCUCUGCCUGAUAAGAGCCUGCCCGCGCUGAGGAUCAGAGAGGAGCUCCUGAAGAUCCUACAGGAGUUGCCCAGCGUGAGUCAGGAGACCCUGAAGAUGAGCGGAAUCGGCCGAGCUGUGAUGUUCCUCUACAAACACCCCAAAGAAUCACGCCCCAACAAAGACCUCGCCCUGAAACUCAUCAAUGAGUGGUCGCGGCCCAUCUUCGGCCUGUCGUCUAACUAUAAGGGCAUGACCAGAGAGGAGAGGCAGCAGAGGGACCUGGAUCAGCAGGUGGCCCCCCGUCGCAGACUCAGUGAGCCUGAGAAGGUGGUGAAGCCGGAGGAACCUGACGUUUUCGGGCCCCAGCUCAGGUUUCCGGAGUCGUGAGAAUGUGCAUGUCUGACCCGAGCGCUGACGGUGUGUGAAUACUCACAGCCGACUGCAGGAAUUAAGCAUGACUGAACUCGUGUAACGUCCGGCACUGGGGUGGUGGAACUGGGUCUAGAGUUACGCCACUUUUCCGCUGCGUGCUACCCUGUGCCACGUGGUGCUCGUUUUCAUUGCCAGGUGACCCCGUACUGUACCCGGAUACCUGAGCUAGAUUCAGUCGGUCACCUUGACCAGGGAUCAUGGAUUGGUCUCUAUAUUUGAGCACCACCAGGACCACAGAGGGACACAACCUGAAAAUCAUCCUGCUGCUGGUACUGCUGUCGGUUGCAGUCACCGUGGUGUGUUUACUCUGCAGGACUGUCCCGGUUGCCAAGUAGCUCAAUAUCCCCCUCAUGCCUAACCCUAACCCAGUCGUGUGGAGGUGUUUUUCAGCACUGUAUGGCUGCUGUAACCCAAACGCUAUCCUAUAUACCACACACACGUGCAGUGAUGACACCCGCUGCCCCGGUUUCACUUGUGGUGAACCGGCUUUAGUGCACAGUUCUUGAAUCAGCCUGUUUUUGAGGAGAGGAAGAGCUCAAACAACCUGCCCAUAGAGUUUACAGUCUAGUAUUUAGGCUUCAAGCGGGUGAUACACAGCCAGAACCUCGUACUGUUCCUGCAUGAACUGGAACUGGAUCGGCUUGACUGUGUGGAAUCGAUUCAACUCACAUGCUGCUGUUUUGUACUAAAACGUAAUGUUUUACACCCUGAAGCACCAGAGCGGAUCAUGUUUAUUAGCUAAUUUUUGAUUUCUGUAGGGCUGCAAGGUGAACUAAUGAUUGUUUUGUUCUUUGAUUAAUCUGUUUGUUAUUUAUUCAUAAUAAAAUCCAACAUUUUAAUACGAUAUAACACGCAGUGCUUUUAUUUUAACAGCAUUUUAACUGCAACCCCACUGCACAAAUCGAGGUCCAUAAAGCCCUAUCCUAGAGGAGUUCGAGCCCCCACCUCAACCCCUAAAAGGGGACACUUUUGGGAUGAAUUAGCAGUGCUGAUUGCAGUUGCAAGCCAGGCUUUUUCAUUCAGCAUCAGUGCCUGACUGUACAGAUGCUCGUCUGACCGAAGGGCGGAAUUCCCACAGGCACACUCCAAAAUCUUGCCAAAAGAAUAAAUGGCAGUGGUUUUGAAACAGACUGUCAGGUGUCCACAUACUUAUGAAGUGUGUUCACGUAAGUGUGAAUUUAAAGCUCAUGGUAUGAAGCCUCGUUGGUGUGCAGCUUCGAUAGGUCACGGUUAGCCGUCGCCGACUGCCGCUCAGAGGAAUUUGGUGAGAUGAGGGCACUGAAUAGAAGUGGCAGUCGUGGUGUAAUUCAUCCCAGUUUAUUACGGGAUGGAUGAACGGUGUCAGUUCUGAGCGUCUGUGUGUGUGUGUGUGUGUGUGUGUGUGCAGCUCUGGAGGACAGACUCCUCGGCGUGACCUGGAGAAGGUGCUGACGGGAGAAGAGAAAGCGCUGAGGCCCGGCGAGCCCGGGUUCUGCGCCAGGGCGCGG